rnacentral:rRNA from 1 species
UACGAAGGGGGAUAGAGUUGUUAGGAAUCACUGGGCGUAAAGCGCACGCAGGCGGAUCGAUAAGUCGGGGGUGAAAGCCCGGGGCUCAACCUCGGAAUUGCCUUCGAUACUGUCGGUCUCGAGUCCGGGAGAGGUGAGUGGAAUUCCUAGUGUAGAGGUGAAAUUCGUAGAUAUUAGGAAGAACACCAGUGGCGAAGGCGGCUCACUGGCCCGGUACUGACGCUCAGGUGCGAAAGCGUGGGGCGCGAACAGG